UACGUAGGGUCCAAGCGUUAUCCGGAAUCACUGGGCGUAAAGCGUGCGUAGGUGGAUUGUUAAGUGCGAUGCGAAAUCCUGUGGCUCAACCAUAUGGACUGUAUCGCAUACUGGCUAUCUAGAGGACAUGAGAGGCAAGUGGAAUUACUGGUGUAGCAGUGAAAUGCGUAGAGAUCAGUAGGAACACCAAUGGCGAAGGCAGCUCUCUGGGACGGUACUGACGCUGAGACGCGAAAGCGUGGGGAGCGAACAGG
rnacentral:rRNA from 1 species